CAAGACGUAGCUUUAAUGAAAGCAUUCAGCUUACGCCUGAAAGAUGUCUGCUAAACCAGAUCGUCUUGA
rnacentral:tRNA from 1 species